CCAUUCCAAGGUCCAAAGCCAUUAUGUUAAGCACUUGAUCGGAUGGCUAUCGGUUCACUUCAGCCACUGACACCACACCACAUGGGAAAGGCUGAGCUAAGUUGGUAUUCGAUGUUUAACUUGCGAUUCUAUCAUAAACGAACAGCUUUUCCAGCUACUAGUUCUACAUAACAUAGAACAUGGCUAUUGUUCGUUUAUAUGUAACAAACAACACAAAGAAAGCUACAGUUUUAAAGUCCAAUUUGACAAAUAUUUCCUAGAAAUAAAGCAAGUUCACUGCAGAGGUCCAACAGUUAAGUACUGAAUAUAUGAAGAGUUUCAUCAGCUCUCUGCUUGUCUAACAUUUAUGUUCUGAUAACUUCAAUUUGAUGCCUUUAAUUAAUGUGUCUGUUCAAUAUUAAAACUGCAUUCUAAGUUGCUGGAUUGUCUCAUGCGAUCAGCCUGAAACUGUCAUAGAAUCUGCAAAGACUGGUGAUACAGGUUAAGGUCAAGGCCAGCAACAUUCCCACCUACUCGUGCCCGCAAGAUUAAUAAUUAAUUCAGGAAGCCUUCAACCUUUUGGAAUGAUGAUAUCAACCUCUUACCUCAGGAAGCCUUCAAUCUUCAGGAUGGCAUUUCGAUCAGCAAUUAUAGCUGUAUCUGUCUCUACAGCAUGAUUUGUAACCUGGUUGGCAAAGAUUUUAAGCUUUAAAUUGGUAGGCUAUUAUCAUAAAAAAUAAUAAAAAACCCGGUGCAAUCAUCCGGCGUCUAAUUUCAG
rnacentral:lncRNA from 1 species